rnacentral:rRNA from 1 species
GAUGAACGCUGGCGGCGUGCUUAACACAUGCAAGUCGAACGAAGCACUUUGAUAAGCUUGCUUAGAGAAGUGACUGAGUGGCGGACGGGUGAGUAACGCGUGGGUAACCUGCCUCACACAGGGGGAUAACAGUUAGAAAUGACUGCUAAUACCGCAUAAAAUGGCAGUUUCGCAUGAAACAACCAUCAAAGAUUUAUCGGUGUGAGAUGGACCCGCGUCUGAUUAGCUAGUUGGUAAGGUAGCGGCUUACCAAGGCGACGAUCAGUAGCCGACCUGAGAGGGUGACCGGCCACAUUGGGACUGAGACACGGCCCAAACUCCUACGGGAGGCAGCAGUGGGGAAUAUUGGACAAUGGGCGCAAGCCUGAUCCAGCGACGCCGCGUGAGUGAGGAAGUAUUUCGGUAUGUAAAGCUCUAUCAGCAGGGAAGAAAAUGACGGUACCUGACUAAGAAGCCCCGGCUAACUACGUGCCAGCCGCCGCCGUAACAC